GGCAUUUGGUGGGGCCUUUGUAUCUCACUCCCGCCACAGCUUGGGAUCGGUCUCUGCUGUUUUACGUCCUCCACCUCGGGAGCCCCCGGUGACUGUCACAGCCUCUUGCCCUGUGAUCUGCAGGUUCUGGGAGACGCACAGCUAAGAUGCCAGGACAUCCUGGAAGCUGGGAAAAGGUUCUGACAACAAAGGAGAUUGUGACAUAUUGCUGGGCCUAACACUAAGGUGAUGUUAGUUAUUUGCUUUGGCUGUGCCCUUGGAAGGCAUUGAGACAUACUGCUGUGCCCAGCACCAAGAUGAUGUAACGUGACUCUUCUGCUUCAGGCCUGCCAAAAGAAAAGAUUGUGACAGAUCACUGGACCCAGCACCUAGGUAGGAUUGUGACAUAUAUCUGGCCAAGCGUACAGAUGUAAUGAUGACUGUCAUACCUUGAAGAAGCCAAUAGCAGAGAGAAUGUUGCUCUCAGGCUUAGGAAAAUGAGGAAGUCUUUCUGUACAAAAGUCAUAAAGAAUUACUACUCUCUCACAUAUAUUACGCCCUAGUGUGUUACAGAGAAUGUCAUAACAGGGCCCAGCACACAAGU
rnacentral:lncRNA from 10 species